GCAGUGGUGGUUUAGUGGUAGAAUUCUUGCUUUCCAUGUGGGAGACCCGGGCUCAAUUCCUGGCCAAGGCA
rnacentral:tRNA from 1 species